AAGUCGUAACAAGGUCUCCGUUGGUGAACCAGCGGAGGGAUCAUUACAGAAGGUUAACGCCUACAAACCACCGCGAACCGUUCCGUUUAGCUGCCUCGGCGGGCAAUCCCAGGGCGGGAUUCCGGGCCUCCUUCGGGGGGCGCCCGCCGGCGGUACGCGCAAUCUAGCUCUGUAUAUCGGCGGAUUUCUGAGUGAUUUUAAUAAAAACCUUUAAAAACUUUCAACAACGGAUCUCUUGGCUCUG
rnacentral:misc_RNA from 1 species